rnacentral:rRNA from 1 species
ACGAACGCUGGCGGCGUGCCUAAUACAUGCAAGUCGAGCGGAAUGAAGAAGAAGCUUGCUUCUUCUGAUUUUAGCGGCGGACGGGUGAGUAACACGUGGGCAACCUACCUUGUAGAUUGGGAUAACUCCGGGAAACCGGGGCUAAUACCGAAUAAUCCAUUUUGCUUCAUGGCGAGAUGUUAAAAGGCGGCUUCGGCUGUCACUACGAGAUGGGCCCGCGGCGCAUUAGCUAGUUGGUAGGGUAAUGGCCUACCAAGGCGACGAUGCGUAGCCGACCUGAGAGGGUGAUCGGCCACACUGGGACUGAGACACGGCCCAGACUCCUACGGGAGGCAGCAGUAGGGAAUCUUCCACAAUGGACGAAAGUCUGAUGGAGCAACGCCGCGUGAGUGAAGAAGGUUUUCGGAUCGUAAAACUCUGUUGUAUGGGAAGAACACGUACGAGAGUAACUGCUCGUACCUUGACGGUACCUUAUUAGAAAGCCACGGCUAACUACGUG